CAGAGGAUAUUUUAUGUAAAAUAUUAGUUUUGGGGGCUAGUGAAAUGGCUUAAGCCUUUCCUCUGA
rnacentral:tRNA from 1 species